GACGAACGCUGGCGGCGUGCUUAACACAUGCAAGUCGAACGGAAAGGCGCUGCUUUUGUUGGUUUCUCGAUUGGCGCACGGGGGAGUAACACGUGAGUAACCUGCCCUUGACUUUGUGAUAACUUCAGGAAACUGCGGCUAAUACCGGAUAGAAGCUCCUGCUGCAUGUUGUGGGAUGGAAAGUUUCGGCGGUUGGGGCUCGUCUCGCGGCUUAUGAGCUUGUUGGUGUGGUAGUGGCGUACGAAGGCUUUGACGGGUAGCCGGCCUGAGAGGGGGACCGGGCACAUUGGGACUGAGAGACGGACCAGACUCCUACGGGAGGCAGCAGUGGGGAAUAUUGCACAAUGGGCGGAAGCGUGAGGUAGAAACGUCGGGUGCGGGAUGACGGCCUUUGGGUUGUAAACCGAUGUGGACGGAGACGAAGCGUGAGUGACGGUAAUGGGUAAAGAAGCACCGGCUAACUACGUG
rnacentral:rRNA from 1 species